GAGGUUAGAAGAGAGGUUAAUGCUGGAAUUGCAACAGUAUCGCGAAUGAUGGAGCGACUAGAAACCAGAGAAAACAAUAGAACCAGUAUUUCUUCUGUUUCAAACAGUGAGGAAGAUAGCUCAGUAACAGAAUCAAACAACCAACAAAUAUCAGAGACUGGUGGUGGAGAUCCUAUGAGUAAUACAAAUGCCAAUAUGCAAGCUCCGUGUGCUGCAAGUUCUGGUUCAGAUUAAGCAUA
rnacentral:misc_RNA from 1 species